rnacentral:rRNA from 1 species
UACGUAGGGUGCGAGCGUUAAUCGGAAUUACUGGGCGUAAAGUGUGCGCAGGCGGCACCGCAAGUCGAGUGUGAAAGCCCCGGGCUUAACUUGGGAAUUGCGCUCGAAACUAUGGUGCUGGAGUGUGGCAGAGGAAGGUGGAAUUCCACGUGUAGCGGUGAAAUGCGUAGAGAUGUGUAGGAACACCGAUGGCGAAGGCAGCCUUCUGGGCCAACACUGACGCUCAUGCACAAAAGCGUGGGGAGCAAACAGG